GUCCAAACAUCAUAACACUAUCAUUCUAAUUAUAUUACUAAUUUUAAGCAGUUCUAUUUAUAAUUCUACUUCUUUUUUUUAAUGACUUAACAAUUCUGAGGUUCAUAUGCAACAAUAAAUAGGAAAGUAAAGCAAGAUUAGCCCUACCAGAUACUAAAGAAUUUAAUGCUAUAAAAAUUUAAAAUAGUAUAAUCCUAACACAAGAACUAUUAGACAAAGUAGCAUAAUCAGAAGGUCUAGACACAUAUCCUAUUCCCUGCAUCCCUACACAGCUAAAUUCCAGAUAGACUAAAGAACGAAACAGUCAAAAAGGUACAGAAAAGGAAAUAUCAUUAAGGAUUUCUGGUCUGAUGUGGACAGAGCUUGGAAGUCAUCACUCCCAUCCUCACAACCAGAAAGCCGAACAAACUGAAAAUCAGUAACUCUUUUUUUUUUUUUUUUUUUUUUUUUGGGAUGGAGUCUGGCUUUGUCGCCCAGGCAGGAAUGCAGUGGCAGGAUCUCGGCUCACUGCAAGCUCCGCCUCCCAGGUUCACGCCAUUCUCCUGGCUCUGUCUCCCAAGUAGCUGGGAAUACAGGUGCCCGCCACCACGCCCAGCUAAUUUUUUUGUAUUUUUAGUAGAGACAGUGUUUCACCAUGUUAGCCAGGAUAUUCUGGAUCUCCUGACCUGGUGAUCCGCCCACCUCGGCCUCCCAAAGUGCUGGGAUUACUGGCGUGAGCCACCGUGCCCGGCCGAAAAUCAGUUAACUCUUCUUAGACCCAAUAGAGAAUUGAGGUUCAGGGCAAACUGCUGCUCCCAAAACUGGAGAGAGAUGUGACUACAGAAAACCACAGCUACGGGUAUCACAAACCCCAGCAAGAGAAACAAACAGCUGGAGCCAGUAUCCAUAGGAACACUGUAAUGUAAAUUGCUGGAGGUUCAACGUGGACUAGCUUGAGAAUUAAAAGCUCAGGGGAUGGGCAGUCUGGCUGGGGGAGAGACAGAGGAAACUUUCCUGAGUUUUACCUCCAGGUGCCCCAUCAGAGAUUCACAAGUGAAGAUCAAAGAAAAAUUCCCUCUAGCUUCCAAUAGGAGAGAAAAAAUAACCAUUCUGAAAUUGCCCAGCGAUCUCUGUUCUCAAUAACAAAGACCUGUCCUCAAAAGAAACUACAGUAGCCUCCCCUCAUCCGAGGUUUCACAUUCCAGUUUGUUAUCCACCAACUAACCAACUUGUGGGAAGAGAAAUACAAAACUCCAGCCGCCUCCCAGCCUUCCUACUUUCUCACUUAAGUAUUGGGAGGUAAAGGUUGCAGGAGCUAAAAAGCACUCAUGAAGGUCACAGUCCAAAGACACAGGCUCACUAAGAGCUAAUCAUAAGAUUAUAGAACACUUUUACACACACACACACCACAUCAAUAGGGCUCCUGUGUAAUAACAGGGACUUACAGCUUAAAUAACUACAAGCCUCGGAACCUACUUAUGAAGGAGUUAUUAGGGAAACCCAAAGACAACAAAGGAGACAAAAGCAGUUACACGAGAGGAAAUUUUAAUCUCUGACACCAAAGCUACAUCAAACAGUAAACACAGCCUAACUCCUAGCCAGAUAGGCCUCUAGGCCACACUAAAGGCCUGUUUAUCUCAGUUCUUUUUACCCCUUAUGUCACAUCCAGCUUAUCAAAGCUGCUGUUGCUUUGCCUAUAAAAUAAGAGGGUAUAUUACAUGAAUUAUAUGAAAUGGUACAUGGUAUAUCAUGAACAACCAGGAGAAUUAUAACAUUAAAUUUAUUCCGUCUGUCUGCAUGUUUGUACCCUUUAACCCACUUCUCUUCAUUCUCCCCAACACUCACCUUUCCCAGUCUCUUAUCUUUUUACUCUCUACUCUCAUGUGAUCAAAUUUUUUUAGCUCUCACAUAUGUGAGAACAUGUGAUAUCGCCCCAAAUUUGUCUUUAAUACGUGCUUUGGUAAUUUCACUUUAGCCCUUAAUGUUAGUCUAACAAUAUUUAUUUUAAAUCAUAUUUGAAAACCAUAACUUAUAAUACUCAACUUAAUCCAUAUUUCUCUUAGCUAUCUAGCUGUGCACAGUGGCUCAUGCUUGUAAUCCCAACACUUUGGGAGGCUAAGAUGGGAGGAUCAUUAAAGGGCAGGAGUUCAAGACCAGCUUAGGCAAGAAAGCAAGACCUUGUCUCUACAAAAAGAAGAAAGAAAAGUUAUAAACUACUUUAUCAGAUUUUCUUAAAUUAAAAACCACCAAGAAAUAUCACUUCAAUGCACCGUGUUAUUUUUAAUCCUCUCAGAAACAAAAUAUACUUGAUAGAAGAAAUAAAAAGAUUACUGGUAUUAAGCAUUUUUUUCUAAAUAAGCAAUAACAUGAUGUUAAAUUAUGUCAAAAUGUGCUCAACAAUCAUUAUAUAAGGUUCCACACUGAUGGAUUCUGCAUUGAAAACUACUUGAACUUACAAUCAAAGCCUUUAGUAUCAUAGUAAGAAAAGCUUUAUCAUAAAUCAUGUACGGCACAAAAUCCUAACUCAAUUCUUAUCACUAGAUGCCUCAUCUUCCCAAACUAUCCUUGUUAUUAUUUAAUAAAACUUUCACUUUUAUUCUGUGACCAAAAUGCAAGUAUGAAAUCUGCUUUCCUGGCUCCUUAAAUAAAAGGCUGCAAAAAUGCUAUCACUCCAAAUUACCUCAGAAUCUGAAGUAAGGGUUACAUAUAGAGAUCUUUUUGGUACUUUAAUACCUCACUACCCACAAAAACAAAACAAAAAAAAUGGGCUACAAAAUUAAAAUAAGUUAUUUAAUAUCCAUACAAAUACUUUACUUUGACUUAUUUUCCUACCUCAUUUGCCUUUUUACCCAUUCCGCAUUACACAAACACAUCUGUGUAUCUCUUCAACUCUUUUUCAGGACAAGGUAGAAUUAAACUGAAUAAUAAAUGUGAAAUAAUGUAUAAUACAAUUCAAUUUAAAAAUUACAUUGCCAACUUUUGACUACAUUCAACGUCAUGUACAUAGUCAAAACUCUCAAAACCUACUAUAUUUCACGUCACAUACUACAACAUCAUUUUUGUGAGAUUGUAACUAAAAUAACCUACCAUUCUUAUUUAAGUAACUUUUAAAACUACUUCUCAUUUCAAAGAACAUUCUUUUUAAAGGUAGAAAUGUUACUUUCCCCCACUAACUAGUCAUUUUCAAAAAGUACUCACACAACAUACUAUAAAUGCCCAAAAUUUAAUCACUUAUUUUAAAGACUCCUUUCUUCACCUCUCUGCCUCAUCUCUUAAUUUCUCCUGUAAGUGCCAACAUUACUACAAGCACCUAGAUGAAGAGCACAUAAAACAAAUACUCAACUUUUCGUGCUUUGAAGAUUUGUUCAUUUAUGUGAGGACAAUGCAAAAUCUUGCAUACUUGGAUAUGUGGGAAAUUCAAAGUUUUCAAAUUAAACUGGUAACUCAGGGUGGGAGGAAUAGGGGAGGAUGGUGUCAUAUGACAUUGGUUAAAUUUUUUUAAAAAGCCCACUUUUCCAAUGCAAUUAUAAAUUUAGGAUAAAAUCUACUUAGAAAAUGGUAAGGUCCUUUAAUAAUCUUAUUCUACAAGAUAACUCCCAAAAGCCCAGACUAACGUAUGCUUAAGUUUUUGGAAACAAAAUAAAAUUUAAGACAGUUUCCACCUAUGGGGUAUUACGCUUCAUGUGGGGAUAGAGGAAGGUUAGGUGAAAUGUAAAAGGUUCAUGUUGUUUCUCCAUUCUGUCUUUCUCAAUUCUAGAUUGGUAAAGUCAUUAAGAAAUGAAUUUUUUAAAGUUUUAAAGGUAUAGCUAAAAUGCAAGCUGAGCUUCCAACAAAUCCAGCAUUUCUUUCAAAAUGUUUUCACUGCUAAUUAGGAAAAAUUUUAAAGAUAUCCAUAAACAUAAAACAUUAUAAUACGCAAAUGAAAUCACUGCUCUACUCUUCAAAUUGUACACAACAGCUACAUGUUAAAUUCAACAGUAAGGCUGACCUGUACUUAAGAAUAAUGCUAUAAUUCCUGAAAAAAAGUAGCAGCAAUAUAUAUGAUAAAAGAGGUGAUCACAACACAGUUUACCUCUCAUAGUCCACCAUUUCAGUCUACCAAAAUUUCUGAUUGUAGAAUGGCAAGUAACUAUUUACCUGAGUUAAUAGUGUUUGAAGCUGUGUAAGAUUCAAGAAUUUUG
rnacentral:lncRNA from 1 species